AGAGCCCGGGUUGGGUGCGAGCAGUGAUGGCAAAAGGCUUUAAGACUCCUUUAGGCAUUCUGACAAUAGCAGGGCUCUAUUGUUUGACCUGUGUGGCUGUGCUGUUGCAGACUCUCUAUGCCCAAAACUGGCUACAGAUUCUGGUGCUGGCAGCAGGAUGUUUGCUGGGCGUUGCAGUUGAGAUGUGGUGCAUCAUAACCCAUUUGAGAUUCUUAGUUGAUCAGGAUGAGAAAGAAAAGAAGAUCUAGGGAUCUCUAAAGGGUCAUUUAGGAUGUUGUAAGGGUUUAAGCGUGAAAUUUGUAUUUUAU
ensembl:lncRNA